GCCGAAACGAUUCUGUCAAUGUCUCUAGCUGUUGGGUUUCUGAAGUCUCCUUCGAGCCAUAAAAGUAUGUGACAAUGUGGUAGCCCUCUCUUCUGGAACUCUAUGGUGUAGACAACUGGUUGUUCAGAAAUGAAAAGGGAUCAAACCUGCUUUAGCACGGGGGAAGAAGACGCCUUUGUUGAAAUCUGAAAUCAUCUCGUCAAGUUUCAUCUUGAACACUCUAGCCUCCAGGUCGGGGCGGUCGUUGGGAUCGUCAGAGCCAUACAUUUUCAGGUGGUCAGAUAUCUCCUCCCAUUUAGGAUUGGUUGUAAAAGUGAUAAAUAAGUCUGGAUUACCUUCCCAUCGACAUAUUGCCAUCGCAUCGUGAUAUUUUUCCGCCAUAUAACGGGGACUCCCUGUAUGACUUGAAGGUCAGCCCUGAUUUUCUUCUGAUUUAAUCGAAACCAACGCAACCUCUCCUGUUCUAUGCAUGUGUAGGCGUCAACGAUAUACUGGUGCAAUAACCUUUUCGAACCCACGAUAACCAUGCCUUCAUCUAAGCGAGUCUGUAUCUGCCCGCCUGCCCAUAUGGGAAUAGGAGUGGAUAUUGCAGAGUCAUAAAGAGUGGAUGCAUAUCACUUAUAUGCUGCAGUCCUGACGAUCUGUGUUGAACAACUAUAUCUCUCUCGCCCAUAUCCUC